CCAGGCGGCAUGCCUACACAUGCAAGUCGUACGGAGAGUGGGGCAACUCACUCUCAGUGGCAAACGGGUGAGUAACGCGUGAAUAACCUGCCUUUGAGAAGGGGAUAACUGUCCGAAAGGAUAGCUAAUACCCUAUAUUGCCUUUUGUCACUAAGGCAAAAAGUGAAAGCGAGGCUGUCAAAAGCUUCGGCUCAAAGAGGGGUUCGCGUCCUAUCAGGUAGUUGGUGGGGUAAUGGCCUACCAAGCCGAUGACGGGUAGCUGGUCUUAGAGGAUGAUCAGCCACAGUGGGACUGAGACACGGCCCGCACCCCUACGGGGGGCAGCAGUGGGGAAUCGUGGGCAAUGGGCGCAAGCCUGACCCCGCAAUGCCGCGUGAGGGAAGAAGCCCUUCGGGGUGUAAACCUCUGUCAGAUGGGAAGAUGGAACUAGGGGCUAAUACCUCCUAGUCUUGACGGUACCAUCAGAGGAAGGGACGGCUAACUACGUGCCAGCAGCCGCGGUAAU
rnacentral:rRNA from 1 species